AUGAACAGUUCACUGAGUUUUAAUAACAGCUCUACAGAGCAAAGAAAAACAAUAAACGCUGGGCCACAAACUAAAAACUCUCAGGCAAAAAGCUAACCCCUUCACUGCGGCUCAGAAGCAGUAACUAAAUAUUAAAUUAAUACCAGUCCUUUACAACACGGCCUGUGACCACUGGAAGUCAGAUAUAAAAGAUCGUCCAUGAUGUGUUAAGCCGGAACUGAAGGACAUUCAUCAAGCCAUACCCUUUUUAAUCCAUGAGAUACUUGAACUUCCCUGCACCCAGCAAGAUCCCAGGAUUCACUGCACAAUGGACAAGGGACCCAUCCACCAAGUGAGGAGGAGUGGGCAUGAAUGCAGCAGGGAGGGAGGAAGUCACGGGCUUAAGCUGGGAAACAUGGAACACUGGGUGAAUCUUCAUAUUUGAUGGUAGGCAAAAUCUAUAGGAGACUCUUUUGAUAGCCUUCUCCAGUAUGAAUGAUUCCAUGUAGCAAGAGGCCAACUUGUGGCUUCUCAACUCUCAAAGGAAGAUCUGUGGACCCUAGCCAUACUUUUCUCCCCUGACUUGUGAGGCCCCACCUGUUAGUGGAGCUGAUGAGCCUUCCAGGCAUAUUGUUUCUGAGUGUGCAGCAGAGAAGCCCUGGCAUGUCUCCAUGUGGGCUUCUCCUGUGCCAACUGUUCAACCAUAGGAACUGCCGCACCAAUCUCCUGAUCAGCGAAGAGUGGUGGCUGGAAUUCCUUGUGGCAUUGAAAAGGAGACAUACCAAUGGAGAACAUCUGGAGUAUUGGUCGAGACUUGGACACCGGACACAGCAACGCUUCACUGCCUGCAUUCCGCCUUGCCUGAGAAAUUGGCCUGUCAAAUCAACUGACUCCGAAGAUUAGUGUGUCUCUCACUCUGCGCUUGAGCCAUAUCCAAAUCGGGUGACAGCAAGUCUCGACCACACAAAGAUGGACCCAGCAGAGAGAGGGCAGCUGUCCUUGGCCAUGAGAUUCAUUGGUCAGAGUGAUUCACUGAGGCUCAGAUUCUACAAAUUUUAUUCUUGAAGCAGAUGCCUGAAGCAGAACCUCCAAUCAGAGGAUCCUCAUUCUGAGUGAUUCGUCUCACAGUGUCACUUGAUUGAACUACCUGUGUAUAAGCUCUCGUUUCUGUUUCUACAUGGAAGUCUUUGGCUCACAGCAUGGCACUUAUCUACCAGCAUCACUGAAGAACCUCAUUCAGGACUUCCAGCAGACACAGGUUGCUGGUGCCUCAGGGGCUGAGCCUAGAGAGAGGAGCCCUGUCACAACCAUGGAUUCGGCAGUGCUGCAGUUACGGCAAUUGCACGUGAGAUUGUGCACGUGUCAGCAAAUUAUUAUUUAAUUGUGAUAGGAUUUAACUCCAUUCAUUCUGUCACAGUAUUGGUUGAGACUUGGACACAGCAACGUUUCGCUGCCUGCAUUCCGCCUUGCCUGAGAAAUUGGACCGUCAAGUCAACUGUCUCUGAAGACUAGCAUGUCUCUCACUCCACACUUGGGCCAUAUCCAAAUCGGGUGACAGAUCAAGGUUGCCAGUUUCGCCAAACAUACUGAAGUUUAUUUUUAUGUUCCCCUUUGCAACCAGGCAUAUCUCAGUGAGGUUCAUUUGAAUAUCAUUGCAGAAUCAGAAGUGACAGAUGGAGUUCAACCCAGACAAGUGUGAAGUGAUUCAUUUUGGUAGAUCAAAUAUGAUGGCAGAAUAUAGUAUUAAUGGUAAGACUCUUGCCAGUGUGAAGGAUCAGAGGGAUCUUGGGGUCUGAGUCCAUAGGACACUCAAAGAUGCUGCACAGGUUGACUCUGUGGUUAAUAAAGCUGUCACCAAUUGUGGGAUUGAGUUUAGGAGCUGAGAGAUAAUGUUACAGCCAUAUAGGACCCUGGUCAGACCCCACUUUGAGUACUGUGCUCAGUUCUGGUCGCCUCACUAUAGGAAGUAAACACAAAGUACACUGCAGAUGCUGUGGUCAAAUCAAGACGUACAAACAAGCUGGAUGAACUCAGCGGGUUGGGCAGCAUCCGUUGAAAUGAGCAGUCAACGUUUCGGGCCGACCUGCUGAGUUCAUCCAGCUUGUUUGUACAUCUUCAGUACAGGAAGGAUGUGGAAACCAUAGAAAGGGUGCAGAGGAGGAUGCUGCCUGGAUAGGGGAGCAUGCCUUAUGAGAAUAGGUUGAGUGAAAUCGGCCUUUUCUCCUUGGAACAAUGGAGGUUGAGAGGUGACCUGAUAGUGGUGUAUAAGAUGAUGAUAAGCAUUGAUCGUGUGGAUAGUCAGAGGCUUUUUCCUAGGGCUGAAAUGGUUAGUACAAGAGGGCAUAGUUUUAAGGUGCUUGGAAGUAGGUACAGAGGAGAUGUCAGGGGUAAGUUUUUUAAGCAGAGAGUGGUGAGUGCAUGGAAUGGGCUGCCGGCGAAGGUGGUGGAGGUGGGUAUGAUAGCGUCUUUUAAGAGACUCCUGGAUAGGUAUAUGGAGCUUAGAAAAAUAGAGGGCUAUGGUUAACCCUAGGUAAUUUCUAAGGUAAGGACAUGUUCGGCACAGCUUUGUGGGCCGAAGGGCCUGUAUUGUGCUGUAGGUUUUCUAUGUUUCUAUGUUUAUAUUAUUUGUGGUUCAAAUUUCCCUUUAAACUCCACCACGUGCAAUGCUAACAUUUCCUAUUACUAUAGUGAAUUGGGGAAAAAACAAAAAACAGAAGAAAUAGGGAACUGAUUUCAUUAUGAGGACAAGAUAUCAAUUCAAAUCUCAAGACUCAGGAUUGUUUACUGUCAUUCUUCAGUACUCAAGCAUAAAGGAGAACACUAUGAUUGUUACUUUGGAUCUAAUGCAGCAUAAAAAACACAAUCAGCAUUAAAAACUCAAUAAAUAUAAAUGAAACAAUAUAUAAGUAACUGUUUGAGUGUAGCUAUAUAGACAUACAUAAGAUUAGCUUAUAUACAUAGACUGAUUGAUACUAGCUGCAGAAGUAUCUGUUUAUAAGCCCACAGUGACCAGGAAUAAUGAAGAGAUAAAGUGCCUCUUGGCAAGAGGAACACAGGAAGCAACAGGGCAAGUGGAAACACAGUAGGACAGUGACCGUGUCAGCAUAGGGAUGAAGUGUGGAGUGUAAGAGUAAAUUGGCAGAGCAUGGGAGGAUAAAUCUGUGGAGAGGAGUGGGUGAUGUGCAUGCAGUAGUGGUUGGCUGGACUAAUGGGUGGGGGUUUUGAUCAGCCUAAUGAUAACAGUUUUUAAUCAAAUAUAUAGAAAGCAACAUAUUUAAAAUUUUAACAUUUUCAAUGGUAUACUGUGUUCAUUAUUUGUAAUCGGAACUUGAGUUUUUCAUUGUUAACAAUUAUCACAGUGUUAAAUGUCUAAAUUUCUUAAUUUAAUUUUCCCUUAAUUUUUCAGAAUUCUGUAACAUUGAUGUGAAUUGUUAAUUUUGUCUUUCUGUCCAUAUUUGCUACCUCACUGCCUUUCUACCCAUUAUAAGCCAAACUAGUAGAGUCAUAGAAAAUUACAACUUAGAAACAGGCCAUUUGGCCCAUAUGGUCCAUGCUGAACCAUUUAAACUGCCUCGUCCCAUUUGCCUCCUCCGGGACCAUAGCUCUCCAUACCCUUACCAUCCAUGUGUCUAUCCAACCUUCCUUGAAAUGCUGAAAUUGAGCUGGCAUGCACCACUUGAGCUGGCAGCUCGUUCCACACUCUCACAGCCCUCUGAGUGAAGAAGUUUCCUCUCAUGUUCCCCUCAAACUUUUCUCCUUUCACCCUUAACCCAUAACCUUAGUGGAAAAAGCCUGCUUGCAGUUAUCCUGUCUAUACCCCUCAUAAUUUUGUAUUCCUCUGUCAAAUCUCCCCUCAAUCUUCUACAUUCCAUGGAAUAAAUUCCUAACCUAUCUUUCCUUGUAACUUAGCUCCUCCAGUCUUGGCAACAUCCUUGUAAAUUUUCUCUGUAUUCUUUCAAUCUUAUUUACCUCCAUGGAGAGAGAAAGAAAAAGUUAACUUCUGAGGUCAACAGAUAGUCAUUGACUUCAAAAAUUUACUCUUUCUUUCUCUCUCCACAGAUGCUGCCCAGCUUGUUAAUAUUUAUAGCACUUUUGUUUUUGUUUCAGGUUUUGGACUUAUGGAAUUUUUCCUGUUCUUUGCAGCAAAACUCUCCAUUUUCUACAAGUACAUCAUUCUACCAUUAUUGUGCAAGUAGGACACGGCUGUAGUUUCAGUUAGUUAUUCAUUCUGUUGAAAUUACUUUUUUCUUUUAUAUGUAUUUAGAACAUUACUUGCAAAUAAAGGCUUUCUGGACAGAUGUCCCAGCCUGGAGUAUUCACACUUUCCCAUCGGACUCUGACCAAUUUGUCAGAGCAGGACAAUGGCAACCCACAUUCCAACAACGUGCUCAGUAUCAUUGUCCUGCGGACAUCUUGAGUUGCUCCUUCAUUUUCAAUUCCCAGUUUACAACCAAUUCCAUGGUGCUACAUCUUCUGCCUAUAAACCGAUGCAAAAUACCUGUUUAAUUAAACUGCCUCCUUUUUUGAAGUCCUCACUAGUUCCCCAGACUCUUUCUGUUGGUUCAAUGCUUGCUUUAAUAACUUUGUAAAAUAUCUAUAUACAGUUAUCUUUUAUUUUCAUAUCUCUAGCUAGUCUUAAUAUAAAGUCCUUACUUUUUUUUCUUAAUACUUAAUUCCACAUUUAAAACUUGUUUAAUUAACUAUGGAUAGUAGGUUCUACCCUUGGGUUAAUUUUUUUUACAGGAAUAUUUCUAUUCUGGGUAUGCUGAAAGCUCCCCUUAAAUGACUACAUUGCAUCUUUUGAGUUGCUGGUUUGGAGAGAUAAUGGUACUAUGUGAAACUGGUGGGGAUUCUGCUUCAAUCUCUUUAGUAGCAUAUCGAGCCUUUCCUUAAUGAUUAGAUUUGUGAAUAUUAAAUUCGAAUCAGCAUUGGAAUCAAGUUUAUUCUUGUGAAAUUUAUUGUUUCGAGGCAGCAGUAAACUACAUAAACUUUAGUAUAAGUUACAACAAUAAAUAAUAAACAAACAGUGUGAAAGAGGAAUAGUGACAUUGUUCUCUUGGAAUGUCCAGAAAUUUGAUGGUAGAGGGGAAGAAGCUGUUCCUAAAACAUUGAGUGUGGGUCCUCAGGCUCCUGGACCUCCUCCUUGAUAGUAUUAUUAAUAAGAGGCCAUUCUCGGAUGGUGAGGGCCCUUAAUGAUGGACACCUCCUUCGUGUGACACGAAGAUGUCCUCAAUGGUGGGGAAGAUUGUGCCCAUGAUGCAGUUGGCUGCAGCCUCUUUUGAUCUGCAUUGGAGCCUCCAUACCAGGUGCUGAUGCAACCUGUCAGAAUGCUCUCCAUUGUACAUCUGUAGAAAUUUGCGAGAAUCCUUGGUGACCUACCAAAUCUCCUCAAACUCCUAAUGAAGUAGAGCCUCUGGACUGUCUUUCUCCUGAUUUUAUUAACAUGUUUUGCCUGGGAUCGAGCCUCUGGGAUGCUAAUGCCCAAGAACUAGAAUCUGCACUUAUUUUACCCAAAAAUAAUUGAUGAAAUGAGCCCUAUCUAUUCUGUGGGAAAGGGGUAUGAAAGACUGUAAAUAACAUAUUUAGCGUAAAAGAAUAAAAAAUAAAGCUAUAAUGGUGGCUACCAAUGAUUUGUAAUUGUUGGUGUCCUCUCAAUCAAAUCAUAUUGUUAGUGAGGACUAGUAUUAGAAUCUAAUUAGUUAUGGUGUAAAAUCUAUUAAGUGUUGUGUCUGUGCACAACUACAUAUCAAUUAGACAAAAGCAUGCAUGGGGGAGAUGGCUUUAAUUGGCAUAUUCAAAUUGCAGUGAGAGAGCAAUGCACAUGUAUGGACAACAGUGCAUGCACAGACAACAGGUCAAUGCGUAAUGCUAAGGGGGGGGGUGUGUCAUUGCUCUAAUAGAUCCAUACAUUACAAUAAGAUGCAGUGCUAAGCCACAGAUAUAAGGCUUACAUAAUACUUGCAAAACUUUAAGACAGAUUGAUAUCUCAAAGGACAUCACAUAUCUUUUGCUAGAUAAAAGGAUGUAAAAAAAUUUUGAAACAGUUAGCUUAGUUUUAAUUAGCUGAAUUAUUAUUGCUUUGUGAAAUAUAUUGGAAUGAUUUUUUCAUUACCAUAAUCCACAGUUGAGAAAACCUUAUCUUUCUUAUUGGUUGAAUCCAAUAUUGUAAUUAAAUGUUGCUCAGGACUUUUGAAUUGAAGAUUCGGUUAGUUAAUUAAAAUAAAAAGCGAACAAAAAUCAGCAACUGAGACAUUGUGUCUCAGGUCUCUGAGCUUUCUUUUGGGGUAGCAAUAAGGAACAUCUUAAUGACAUCUGCUAGAGUCUGGCUAGGUAGAGAUGUCGCUUUCUGCCCAAGCAAUCCUUGACAGAUUGUGAACUACAGUGGCAUUACAGGUUAGUCUUUAUUUCAUCUCACAUUCACAUGCUUGGGAUGCAGGUAAGCCUGGUGUAAAUUAAUCUUUUAACACAGAGGCUUAAAAUCUCAGCAGGUAUAGCACAUCUGGAAGGCCAUAAAAUUUAUUAUUCAUCUGGUUCUAUAAAGUGAUAUUCAGUUAAUGCUCAGUGUAUGUAUCAAUUCCUUGCAUCCUUAGCAAACAUCGUAAGUCUGCUUGUUGUACAGCUUGGAGAAAUUAUUAUCCCAUUGUGACCAAGACUGGCUAUGAUGGGUGAGGUGAUCUCAUUCUCAAGUUAAGCUUAAAUAUUUCAAGUCUAUUAGUACUCAACACAAAUAUAUUCUCAGUGGCCACUUUAUUAGGUACACCUGUACACCUGCUCGUUAAUGCAAUUAUCUUAUCAGCCAAACAUAUGGCAGCAAAUCAAUGCAUAAAAGCAUGCAGACAUUGUCAAGAGGUUCAAUUGUUGUUCAGACCAAACAUCAAAAUGGGGAAGAAAUGUGACCUAAGUGACUUUAACCAUGGAUUGUUGGUGGCAGAUGGUUUGGUAUCUUAGCAACUGCUUAUCUCCUGGGAUUUUCACACACAACAGAGUCUAGAGUUUACAGAGAAUGGUGCAAAAAAAACAACAAAAGAAAUCCAGUGAGUUGGAAUUCUAUUGGUGAAAAUGCCUUAAGGCACCUUGUUAAUGAGAAAAGUCAGAGGAGAAUGGCCAGACUCAUUCAAACUGGCAGGGAGGUGGCAAAAACUCAAAUAGCGACAUGUUACAACAGCCGCAUACAGAGCAUCUGUGAAUGCACAGCGUAUCAAAUCUUGAAGUGGAUUGGCUACAGCAGCAGUAGACUGCACCAGGUUCCACUUCUGUACCUAAUAAAGUGGCCACUGAGUGUAGAGUACAAUAUUCUGGUGUAAAAUCAUGCUUAGGGUAGAAAAUUUGGCACAGACUAAAUUGCAUGCAACACAUUAUCAUAUCAGAUAUAACAAUACAGCUUCUUCAUCACUAAAGACUAGGAGUUUGAUUUCCCUAUUUUGUAGCAAGUU